UGGGACUAAAAAUUCAAAUAUUUUUUUCAUACGGCCAUGUUCUUUCCCUCUUUUUUUUUUAAAAAAAUUGUUGGUUCUGCUUCAUGCAUCGCACCCACGGCCCAAACAUGUCCGCAUGAGAUCGUUCAUGCAGGAGUCCUCCACGUAUCUUCUUCCUUUUAAAACAUCUCAUGACUUGCUCUCUUGAAUUUAUUUUUGUUCUCGUGAGCCAGCAACACCUACUUCAAAUGCAAACAACAUCUUGGUCCCACUUGACUAAGCCAUUAGCAUUUCACGGCUCUUCCACUUUUCUAUGGACCAAGUGGUCCAUGGUGGACCAUAGAUUUAUAAAUUGAUACGGUUUAUCUUCCGGCUUUGAAUUUAAUUUUAUUUUAACUCUAUUUUUUAUCUCAUUUGAUCCCUCUAAGCCUGCAGAUUAGGCUCUUCAUAUUGGUGCAGCUUUUUUCUAUAAAAUAUACUAAGAAGUAUCAAUUUUAAAAGAAUAAAGAUAAUUUGAUCUAUAAAUUUAUACUUCUAUAAAUAAAUUUAUACACUUAUCAUUAGCCCAAGUCAACCCCAAGUCAAGUAAAAGUUGAUCCUAAGUUGACCCGAGUUGACUCCACUACAUUUGAUGGCUCC
rnacentral:lncRNA from 1 species